AAAUAUGAAGCGAUUAAUUGCACUCAGUUUCGACCUGAUUUUAGGUGUUACACACCCUUAUUUA
rnacentral:tRNA from 1 species